rnacentral:tRNA from 1 species
GGUUCAAUGGCGUAGUGGUUAUCGCAUCUGUCUUACAUUCCAAUGUUUGCACAGAAGGUCUCCGGUUCGAUCCCGGGUUGAAUCA